rnacentral:rRNA from 1 species
UGGGGAAUAUUAGGCAAUGGGCGAAAGCCUGACCCAGCAACGCCGCGUGAAGGAAGAAGGUUUUCGGAUCGUAAACUUCUAUCCUUGGUGAAGAUAAUGACGGUAGCCAAGAAGGAAGCCCCGGCUAACUACGUGCCAGCAGCCGCGGUAAUACGUAGGGGGCAAGCGUUGUCCGGAAUGAUUGGGCGUAAAGGGCGCGUAGGCGGCCUGGUAGGUCUGGAGUGAAAGUCCUGCUUUUAAGGUGGGAAUUGCUUUGGAUACUGUCGGGCUUGAGUGCAGGAGAGGUAAGGGGAAUUCCCGGUGUAGCGGUGAAAUGCGUAGAGAUCGGGAGGAACACCAGUGGCGAAGGCGACUUACUGGACUGUAACUGACGCUGAGGCGCGAAAGCGUGGGGAGCGAACA